rnacentral:rRNA from 1 species
AUUGAACGCUGGCGGCAUGCCUUACGCAUGCAAGUCGAACGGCAGCACGGGAGCAAUCCUGGUGGCGAGUGGCGAACGGGUGAGUAAUAUAUCGGAACGUGCCCAGUCGUGGGGGAUAACGUAGCGAAAGCUACGCUAAUACCGCAUACGAUCUACGGAUGAAAGCGGGGGAUCGCAAGACCUCGCGCGAUUGGAGCGGCCGAUAUCAGAUUAGCUAGUUGGUGGGGUAAAAGCUCACCAAGGCGACGAUCUGUAGCUGGUCUGAGAGGACGACCAGCCACACUGGAACUGAGACACGGUCCAGACUCCUACGGGAGGCAGCAGUGGGGAAUUUUGGACAAUGGGCGCAAGCCUGAUCCAGCAAUGCCGCGUGCAGGAUGAAGGCCUUCGGUUGUAACUGCUUUGUACGGAACGAAACGGUGAGCUCUAAUAAAGACUUGCUAAUGACGGUACCGUAAGAAUAAGCACGGCUAACUACGUACCACG